rnacentral:rRNA from 1 species
AUACGGAGGGAGCAAGCGUUAAUCGGAAUUACUGGGCGUAAAGCGCGCGUAGGCGGCUUUGUAAGUCGGAUGUGAAAGCCCUGGGCUUAACCUGGGAAUUGCAUUCGAAACUGCAGAACUAGAGUAUGGUAGAGGGAAGUGGAAUUUCCGGUGUAGCGGUGAAAUGCGUAGAUAUCGGAAGGAACACCAGUGGCGAAGGCGACUUCCUGGGCCAAUACUGACGCUGAGGUGCGAAAGCGUGGGGAGCAAACAGGAUUAGAAACCCCGGUAGUCC